GCCUCAGAAAAGGGGUUCUCCCUCCCCCAUGGAGAGAGGGAAAGGUCAACGCAGUGAGGAAGGGGAGGUCACUGCAGUCGGGGCGGGGUACAUCUCAUGACAAGAGGGAGGACACCGCAGUGAAGAGGGGAGGGCUCGACAGCGAAUUCUUCGCCCCUCAGCAGCUUCGCCGACCAGUGGGGUUCCCCUAGACUUCCCCAGGCGGGAUGGCUGCCAGGCUGGCAUUUUUUUCCUUGGAAGAAGAGGGGUUGUCUGGGCAAGUGGAGCCCCAACUUGACAGCCCCCAUACACAGGGUCUAUACAACGCUCCGGGGUCGUCACCUCUCUCCCAAACAUGAAUUCCUCCUCUUUUCAAGAGGAGUCUGGAGACAGCAUCCUGGGGCCUCCAGUCCCCAGGUGCUGCAGUGGGAAAUGGUGAGGUAGUCCAGGCUGGACCCAUCGUCUUCCCUACCCCCAGACACAUUCCCCACUCCUCUCAUCCCUCCCCCAUGCAUCGGAGAAAAGGAAAUGUCAAAAGAGAAGGAGGGACAGAAGGACGAGUCUAGAGCAAGUCGGAGGCAGCCAAGGAAGGGUGAGAGAAGGUACAUCCCCAAACGCAAAGCAAAAAGGACGUGCCAAGGAAAACACGCGCUGCCCGCCGAGACACAUGGAACUUAAGAAACAAAUCGGCAGGACCCUAGGCGAAGACCGGCGAGGGGAGAGGGGCAGGCGAGGGUGGAACCGUGCAGCUAGAGGAGCGGGUGCAGAGAGCUGGUACCUCAACCUGGAGGAGGAUCCUGCCACUGAAGAACCAGAGAAGAGAGUGCUAAUGGAGACAAGACACUGGGCAAAGAGAUCUUUACACUCCAUACACAGGGUCUCACUCUACAGUCUCGGCUGUCCAGGAACGUGCUAUAUAGAUCAGGCUGGCUUCAAGUGCACUGAGAUCUACUUGCUUCCAGAGUGUUGAGAUUAUUGUGUGUACCGCAAUACCUGGCCCUCCUCUCUUUCUUGUUUUGAGACAAAGUCUCACCAAAUUGCCAGAUUGUAGCCCAGACUCACCUUCUGUUCUUCUAGGAUGGCCUAUCUGCACCAGAGUUGGCUUUUUAACGUGGUUAAUGUGUUUAAUUUUUUUAAAAAUGUGUUUGGAUGUUUUAUCUGUAUGUAUCUAUACCACAUAUGUAAAAGGGACCUCAAAGUCAGCACAAGACACCCAAGACCAAGUUCUCAGCACAAAGGAGAUGUAUUUGCCCCAUGAGCCCCUACAGUAUGUUCCUAUUGCCCACUGAAGCCAGAAGAGGGCAUCAGAUCCCCUGAAGUUGGGGUUACAGAUUGUUGUGAGCUGCCACAUGGGUGCUGGGAAUCAAACCCUGGAAGAAUAGACAGCGCUCUUAGAGGCUGGGCCAUCUUUUCAGCCACUUUGCCGUGCUUUGAAAAAGUAAUCAUUGAAAACCCUCCCUUCCAUUUGGAUGUGCUCCUACUCACAAAACACUCCUUCCUCUUCUUGAUAAAAUGGCAAGCCUGCAAGGCAUCCCAGUCAGGAUCCAUCAGAAGGAAUCGAGACCCUGAAGAACACCUGAGCAUUUCAGUAAUCACUGUUGAGACAGGGUACCCCAGCUAUAUCUUGGUCCUCUUGCCUAUGACUCUACAGUGCUAGGAUUACAAAGCAUUUUAUUGGGUAAAUUAAGAUUUUGGUGACUAAUCUUGGUAGAGUUGGCAGAGCUUAAAAGGCUAUUGUAAUGGCUGUGUUCCUUUAUACUUGACAAUUGGAGCGGUUGUUGAUCCAAUGUGUUUCCUUAGGGUUACUUACAGGAAUAUUCGUGAGGGAUUAUUAAAGGGGCAUUGGCAUUUACCAAAGUCUACACCACAGAAGAAACCUUUCUCCCUUUCCCAGCAUUAACUGCCUAUAAAUUCUCAAGGAAGGUGGGCGUCUCCUGAGACCUUUCCCUCAGGAGUUUUUUUUCCAGGUUUUCCAAAUCCAAGGUCUAGUAUAUGCUAGGUAAGCCCCCCCCCCCCGCACCCCUCAUUGAUCUACCAUCCCUGCUAAUACUGAGAUUUCUAACAAACUGAGCUGUCUCAGACCUGUGGGGGUGGGGGAACUGCCUAUGGAGAAUCCUUACAGCAGGAAGGUGGGCAGAUGAAGAGCAAGGAAACAUAUAAUCAGGGCUGCCACAAUGGGAAGCUUCACUUAAGGGGUUCUCCUAUAUCUUCCUCCCCUUGUCCCACCCUAGGUCCAGGUUCGGUUCUCCCUAGAACCAAGCUUUUGGUUUGCUGUUAAAACUCUUCUGUCUGA